GUGGGGAAUUUUGGACAAUGGGCGAAAGCCUGAUCCAGCCAUGCCGCGUGCAGGAUGAAGGCCUUCGGGUUGUAAACUGCUUUUGUACGGAACGAAAAGACUCCUUCUAAUAAAGGGGUCCAUGACGGUACCGUAAGAAUAAGCACCGGCUAACUACGUGCCAGCAGCCGCGGUAAUACGUAGGGUGCAAGCGUUAAUCGGAAUUACUGGGCGUAAAGCGUGCGCAGGCGGUUAUAUAAGACAGAUGUGAAAUCCCCGGGCUCAACCUGGGAACUGCAUUUGUGACUGUAUAGCUAGAGUACGGUAGAGGGGGAUGGAAUUCCGCGUGUAGCAGUGAAAUGCGUAGAUAUGCGGAGGAACACCGAUGGCGAAGGCAAUCCCCUGGACCUGUACUGACGCUCAUGCACGAAAGCGUGGGGAGCAAACAGGAUUAGAUACCCCAGUAGUCC
rnacentral:rRNA from 1 species